rnacentral:rRNA from 1 species
AAAAGAACCCCGGCGAGGGGAGUGAAAAAGAACCUGAAACCGUGUACGUACAAGCAGUGGGAGCCCCACCACUAAGCCAGUGGUGAACUCCACAUCCGCAUCCUUUGCUGAGGAUACGGUUAACGGAGCGAAAGCGACGUUCAACCGCAAAACAAGCAGAGGGGGCUUAGUGGUGGGGUGACUGCGUACCUUUUGUAUAAUGGGUCAGCGACUUAUAUUCUGUAGCAAGGUUAACCGAAUAGG